GAAUGGGGUCAUCUAAUCAGAUGUCUCGUGUAGAGAUUAUUCCUUGCUCUUUGUACGUUGAUAACCCUUGUACCAACUCUUUGACGGUGGUCAAUAGAUGGCAUGCUUCUCGACAUGAACAUAUAUAUAAUAAUAGGAAGAUGUGGUACGAGUGUCAAUGAGAUAACUCUCUACAUGAAACCAAAUGACAUAGAAAUUAAAAUUUAUCAGGUCACCAUUCGGCCUUUAACAGUGAGCAAUGCCAGUACUGCAUAGUCUGCUAUUAAAGAAAAGACAAAUGUAACAAAAUUCGAACAAGUCAACUUAUGGCUUUAUUUAUGUACAAAAAAGAACAAAUAGCAAAUAUGUAACACAGCAACUCACAACCAUCAAUGAACUGCAGGCUCCUGUGACAUGGGUCAGGCCUAGGCAAAUACAGAAUGUAGCGAUGUUAAACAUGACGUUCAACUCCCCCUAACCUGGGACAGUUGUGUUACAGUACAACAUAAGAGCAGACUAAAAAAAUCAGUUGAAAAGGCUUAACUAAACAGGCGGAUACAAAUAAAAAUAGUUUACACAAACAAAGUGAACGUGGGAGGGUACUUGAGGGUAUUUAUGAGAUUUAUUUCGGAAAAAAAUGAUGAUCCUUACUAUUAAAUCGAGUAUAAUGAAUGAAGCAGAAACAAUGUAACUCAACAGUUACGGAUGUCCUUCACUCAACGUUUAUUACAGUUAUGGAUAUCAGUCUACACAGUUACCCAUAUCUUCGCGAUUUUUUGAAAUGAUGAUUUCUCCAUUUAGCGUUUCACCUAUGGAAAGAUGCUUUGUAUUUCAGUUUCAAACUUAGUAAUCCUUUAAAUAAGAC
rnacentral:lncRNA from 1 species